GGCAGUGUGGUGUAGUGGUUUGAGUGUUCGACUAUGAUGCUGGAGACCAGGAUUCGAAUCCCGGCUCAGCCA